CAACUUUCAACAACGGAUCUCUUGGUUCUGGCAUCGAUGAAAGAACGCAGCGAAAAUGCGAUAAGUAGUGUGAAUUGCAGAAUUCAGUGAAUCAUCGAAUCUUUGAACGCACAUUGCGCCCCUUGGUAUUCCAUGGGGCAUGCCUGUUCGAGCGUC
rnacentral:rRNA from 2 species